UACAGAGGGGGCGAGCGUUGUUCGGAAUUACUGGGCGUAAAGGGCGCGUAGGCGGCCACUUCAGUCGGACGUGAAAUCCCCGGGCUCAACCCGGGAACUGCGUCCGAUACUGGGUGGCUAGAGUCCGGGAGAGGGAAGCGGAAUUCCAGGUGUAGCGGUGAAAUGCGUAGAUAUCUGGAGGAACACCGGUGGCGAAGGCGGCUUCCUGGACCGGUACUGACGCUGAGGCGCGAAAGCCAGGGGAGCAAACGGG
rnacentral:rRNA from 1 species